rnacentral:rRNA from 1 species
GAUGAACGCUGGCGGCGUGCCUAAUACAUGCAAGUCGAGCGAACAGACGAGGAGCUUGCUCCUCUGACGUUAGCGGCGGACGGGUGAGUAACACGUGGAUAACCUACCUAUAAGACUGGGAUAACUUCGGGAACCCGGAGCUAAUACCGGAUAAUAUAUUGAACCGCAUGGUUCAAUAGUGAAAGACGGUUUUGCUGUCACUUAUAGAUGGAUCCGCGCCGCAUUAGCUAGUUGGUAAGGUAACGGCUUACCAAGGCGACGAUGCGUAGCCGACCUGAGAGGGUGAUCGGCCACACUGGAACUGAGACACGGUCCAGACUCCUACGGGAGGCAGCAGUAGGGAAUCUUCCGCAGUGGGCGAAAGCCUGACGGAGCAACGCCGCGUGAGUGAUGAAGGUCUUCGGAUCGUAAAACUCUGUUAUUAGGGAAGAACAAAUGUGUAAGUAACUAUGCACGUCUUGACGGUACCUAAUCAGAAAGCCACGGCUAACUACGU